rnacentral:lncRNA from 1 species
CUGUUUUAAAAAUACUGGCGGCCAUUGAUGAUCGAUUGGACUGUUUUCUUUACUAUCAGAUGAAACAUGGAGAAGCCUAGACAUCGGUGCAGCGUGUGCCACAAGACUUUCACUGAAAAGUCCAACCUGACGAGGCAUCUGAAGAUCCAUGCCGUCGCCAGGGAGACCUUUGACUAUGAUGUCUGCAGGAAGAGCUUGACCACCAAAUCAUCGCUGGUCAGCCAUCAACAGCAACACCAGUACCCCAACAUCGUUAUGUACCGGCAAGGAGAAGCCAGGCUGCAGUGUACAGAGGCAGCAAAGUCUGUGGCAGAGGCCCCCAGCACCGUUGAUGACCCUACAUGGCUGGAUCCCAAGAUACCUCCUCCUCAAGAUGCUGAAGAACCGAGCGCCGGCCAAUCAGCUCACCUCCCCCAGCAAGGUCACGGCUUCUUUGAAGGGACAGUAUAAGAGGAUUGCAGACCGAGUUCAAGAUGACCCCAUCCUCGGCGGUCUCGCCAUUCCACUGCUCAACUUGAACGCCAAGUCCAUCUCGACCUUCGCUGCCAGGGAGGAGAAAAAGGCCAACUACGGGGCGACGGUACUGCCGAAGGUGACGCCUCACCUGAAAGUGCUGUCGGACGCACCGUUCCCGGAAGCUCCUGCGCUACCAACAUCCCUCCCACCGCCAGACCGGCCUCAGGUCCAGUACCAGCACGUUCAUCAUGAGGCUGGAAAAAGGCGUGGUGAGAAGCGGGGAUUAUUUGUUGAAGAGCCAGAGCCUGUGCCUCCUGUGAACUGGCCCGUUCAGCCCAUGGUGUCGUCCUCCUCCACUCGGCCAAGGGCCUGCUGCGUCCACCCACCUCCAGCCAAGGGCUGCUGCGUCCACCUAUGGACCACCCCCUGUGUCGGCAGCACCCAUACUGCUGGUUCUGUGUAAAUAACUGUGUAAAUAACGUACCUGUGUGAUGCCACUUCUCCUGUGCCAUCUGUAGGAGAGAGAAAGAGGCUUGUUUGUUUGUUAGAUUGUACUUGAAGCACUUUGAAACACAAACAAACAAACACAAACAAUUUAUAUAGUUCAAAAGUUAAAAAAAAUGCACUUUCCAGUUUUACUUUAGAAUGUUCUUGUUUGUUUUUAUUAUUCUUUAUGUUGCUCUUAAAAUGCACUUUGUAGUAUCUUUUUUUUUUUUUUUAUACAAACAUGUUCUGGCCUAUGUUCAAUAUCAAGGCCAAUCUUUAGCCUUAAUCAGUUCUGAUCUAACACAAUCAGUUUUCAUAACCCUUAAGUGAUUGUUCAUGUUCAGAUAAUCUGUGUUUUUUUCGUGUGUUGUUUGUAUGUCUUUGUCUGCUUCAUGUUUAACAAAAAUUUGCCAAAGAAAACACUUUAUUUGUUGAUUAGUGACCUGAGUCUUUGGAUAUCCUGUUCUUUAUUGGGCUUGGGCCUGUACAAAUCAAAAGUUUGUGUUUUUAAUUAAGUGUUUUUGAUUAUUAUUAAUGUUAUUUAUGUGUGCGUGUCCUUGUGAUGUUUGUAUGUCUGUCAGCUUCCAUGUUUAACAAAAUGUUUGCAAAUGGUAGUAAAUGUUUGUCUCUCGUGUUCUCGCUCGUAGAUCUGUACCUUGUUGUGGUGAGCGAGCUUUAAACCAAACAGAUCUUGUUUACUUGUGUUUUCAAUGCAUUGCCUUUUAAAUGAAACACAUCUGGGUGAAAAAUAAAAGUUGUAAAGUAUUUUCCAGUAUUUGGAGUCUCUGAAUGCUUGUUUUUUUUUUUUUACACUAUCCCAUCCCUUUUGAAAACCCAUCAGAGCAACUAGAAGUCCUUGU